rnacentral:rRNA from 1 species
GUCCACGCCCUAACGAUGAUCACUGGGUGUUCGGGAGGCGAUCUCUGAGUACCGAAGCUAACGCGUGAAGUGAUCCGCCUGGGGAGUACGGUCGCAAGAUUAAACUACAAAGGAAUUGACGGGGACCCGGCACAAGCGGUGGAUGAUGUGGAUUAAUUCGAUGCAACGCGAACAACCUUACCUACCCUUGACAUGUCCGGAAGGCCGCCGAGAGGUGGUUGUGCCCGAAAGGAACGGAACACAGGUGCUGCAUGGCUGUCGU